ACAAGCGGUGGAGCAUGUGGUUUAAUUCGAUGAUACGCGAGGACCUUACCUGGGCUCAAAUGUAUGUUUGACGUAUUCUGAAAGGGAUACUUCUUCGGACAAUAUACAAGGUGCUGCAUGGUUGUCGUCAGCUCGUGCCGUGAGGUGUCGGGUUAAGUCCCAUAACGAGCGCAACCCCUAUCAUUAGUUGCCAUCAGGUCAAGCUGGGGACUCUAAUGAAACUGCCUACGCAAGUAGUGAGGAAGGUGGGGAUGACGUCAAAUCAGCACGGCCCUUACGUCCAGGGCUACACACGUGCUACAAUGGCCGGUACAAAGGGCAGCUACCUGGUGACAGGAUGCUAAUCUCAAAAGCCGGUCUCAGUUCGGAUCGGAGUCUGCAACCCGACUCCGUGGAGCUGGAAUCGCUAGUAAUCGCGCAUCAGCCAUGGCGCGGUGAAUACGUUCCCGGGCCUU
rnacentral:rRNA from 1 species